UUAGAUACCCUAUUAUACUAAUGAAAACCUGGAUUAUUAAUAGAUACGGUCUUUAAAUUUGAAGAAUUUGGCGGUGAUUUAAUCUUAUUAGAGGAACCUGUUUUUGAAUCGAUAAACCACGUAAAAUUUUACUCAUCUUAUUUAGUUUAUAUACCGUCAUUAUCAGAUAAUUUUUGGAGAAAUUAAUUAUUAAAAUUUAUUAAAAUAACAAUAAAUUAAAUUAGAUCAAGGUGUAGCCUAUAGGUGAGUUAGAAUGGGUUACAAUAAAAUAUAUUUAUACGGAACAGUUUUUAAAGGAAGAAUGGCUGUUGAAGGUGGAUUUAAUUGUAAUUUAGGUUCAAUAAGCCUGAAAGAUAUAAGUUCUAAACCAUGUACAUAUCGCCCG
rnacentral:rRNA from 1 species